UCACCAACAGUUCUGAUUAAGAUUUAAGAAUCAUAUUUCUUCCUUUUGAAAAAAAAAAUAUAUAUAGUUACUUAGAAAGGGAGAAAAGGGUAGAGUUGAGUUUCAAGGAGAGGUAACUAGAAGAGUUGGCGUUGGGGUUACUGUUACAUUUGUUAUCUCUAAUCUCCUCUGACCAAACUCUGCCACCCUUUACAGAAGCAUCAAACAGCUCUAUCUAUGAGCAAAGUCUGGAUAUUUCCUCCCAUAUUCACUGCUUCAAAAACCUUUCCCGUUACCUUUCUCCUUCCUACUUCUCAAUCUCUUUAUUAUUAUGUCAAAGGCAAAGCAAGUUUAGUGAGUUUUCCCAAUUCUUUCAAAGUUUUAGUUAUGGUAUCUUAUAUAUUUACUUCAAUUUUCCUCUUUUCUUAGCGAAUAUCAGCUUAACUUCCCCAUUUGCUCUAUUUCUUUUUCCUUGCAAAAAAAUUCAGCCUACAUAGAGAAUCAGAAACCAACCAUUCUAAUCCAUUUUUACUCUGUUAUCUUACUCUCUGUAGUGAUAGAAAAAGAAGAGUUGGUCACAAUUUUUUUUCUUUUAAAGUAAAAACUUGCUUUUGUGGGUUGGUAUUUCUUGCCUAGAAUGGAUUUUGGACUUGGUGUUGUGUUUGGGGUUGUGGAAUCUGGUGAUGGCAAUGGCAGGGAUUCUUGGGAUCAGCAGUUGCAGGAUUAUCAGCUUUAAGGUUUGUUGCGGUAGCAGAUAAAGAGCAUCAAGCAAUAACAAAAAGCAGCACCAAGAGUAAAGCAAAAGAAGUGGCUUGCUAAGAGCAUCAAGAACUUCAAGAAAAGAGAAAUCUGGAUUUCCACAGAAAUCAACAACACCCACAGAAUCUUACCUACCAAACUAUACAUCCUAGUCCACAAGAAACUCAAGAACAAAGCCUAGACACACAACCUCUUUACCAACAUCCUCAGCUUCCCCAAAACCAGCAACAAUAUGUGGAGGUUAUAGGUUCCAGCCAAGUAGCAGAAGUAGUCCCCAGUAGACGAACUUUAGGCCAGACCAUAGAAUACAGAAAAUCUAGACAAAGAACAGGAAUGAAAGGAGCUGGAGGAGAAAUUGUUCAAGUACAAGGAGGCCACAUUGUUAGGUCUACUGGGCGUAAAGAUCGACACAGCAAGGUUUACACUGCCAAAGGUCCUAGGGACCGCAGGGUCCGCCUAUCUGCACAUACUGCAAUACAAUUCUAUGAUGUUCAAGACCGGCUAGGCUAUGACCGGCCCAGCAAAGCUGUUGAUUGGCUCAUCAAGAAGGCCAAGUCGGCAAUUGACAAGCUUGCUGAGCUUCCACCAUGGCACCCACUUGCUAAUAAUACUAAUGGAACCAUGGAGGCAGACCAGAAUGCUGGGUCUAGUGAAAUGGCAAUUGCAGAGCAAUCGGAAUCAUCUGGCUAUAGUUUUCAGCUCCACAGACACUUAGCUGAUAACCCAAGUAAUGGCUCAUCCUUCAUUACACCUUCUAUAGACCCUGAUGCCAUUCCUGAUACCAUGAAAUCUUUGUUCCCCACAAGCUCCACAACCUCAUCAAUGAACUUUCAGGGCUAUCCACCUGAUAUAAUCUCAAGAACCACAAACCAUACUGAAGAUCUUGGCCUGUCCCUUCAUUGUUUCCAAGACCAAGGUCUAAUUCGUGGGCAAUCACAGGCAGACACAAGCCAUGCACCUUCAAAUGAUCAGAACCUUUUUGCAGGCUCAGCUCCAGUGGGAUAUGAAGCUAAUUUCCAGAGAAUGGUGGCUUGGAGCAAUAACACAAGUACUGAGAAUAGAACCGAUGGGGGUUUUGCAUUCAACUCACCACAAAUGCCACCACCACAAACAUUGCUAGGUCAAGACCAAGCAUUUUCUCAGAGGGGACCCCUUCAGUCCAGUUUUGCGCAAUCUAUUCGCGCUUGGAAUGAUCUUACUAUGGCAUCCGCAGACCACCACAGAACACAAGAAAUUCAUCAGUCUUUUAUUUUUGGCAGCAGGUUUGCAUCGGAGGGAUUGCCAGGUUUUAGCAUUCCAACACGAAUCCAUGGGGAGGAAGAGCAAAGUAUUGUUUCAGACAAGCCAUCCUCUUCUUCUCCUAAUUCUCAACAUUGAUUAAAGAACUCCAAUCCUUGCUUACCUACAAGAAUCACAACCAGCCAUGGUGGGAAGAUGAUCAAAUGGAAGAUGAAGUAUCAGAUAUUCUGCUCAAUUCAAUUCUGUAUCACCACCUGUGGGAAGAAACUAUCUGCUGAAACAAACUUCAGGCAACCAAAGCCAGCCUGCCGAUCUGCAAAUGCCCUUCACUACAUAUGCCAGGAACAGGAAGACACUGUCUUUUUAUCUUCUGCAAGGAGCAACCAACAAGCAACCAAGUUCUGAAUCCUGAUCCCAUUGACUUUACCAGUUUUGAAGUGGUACCCCCCAAAUUCAAGGACCAUAUUCAUUAGGCAAUCUUUAGGACAGACAUCGUAUUUAAUAAAAUUUAAAUCUCGACGCUCACAUUAAAUAGCUUCCUUUUAUCACUAGACUAAGGCACAAUUUCAUCCAAGAAGAAUUAUUAUCUGCAUAAAAGGCUAAAAAUACUCAUCUCUGAGACCUUGCUUGCCUAGUAAAGGAGUAUUUCACUCUUUAGAUGGGAAAGAUUUGAGCUGGAAAGUGCGAACUUUGAACUUCUAUUGUAUAUCCACCUAUUAGUCCAUUAAUUUAUUUUUAUUUUUAUUUA